GAGUUUGAUCUUGGCUCAGAGCGAACGCUGGCGGCAGGCUUAACACAUGCAAGUCGAGCGGGCGUAGCAAUACGUCAGCGGCAGACGGGUGAGUAACACGUGGGAACGUACCUUUUGGUUCGGAACAACUGAGGGAAACGUUCAGCUAAUACCGGAUAAGCCCUAACGGGAAAGGAUUAUCGCCGAAAGAUCGGCCCGCGUCUGAUUAGCUAGUUGGUGAGGUAAUGGCUCACCAAGGCGACGAUCAGUAGCUGGUCUGAGAGGAUGAUCAGCCACACUGGGACUGAGACACGGCCCAGACUCCUACGGGAGGCAGCAGUGGGGAAUAUUGGACAAUGGGGGCGAACCCUGAUCCAGCCAUGCCGCGUGAGUGAUGAAGG
rnacentral:rRNA from 1 species